rnacentral:rRNA from 1 species
CACUAUGCCUAGCCAUAAACAUUGAUAGUAAACUACACCUACUAUCCGCCCGGGAACUACGAGCAUCAGCUUGAAACCCAAAGGACUUGGCGGUGCUUUAGAUCCACCUAGAGGAGCCUGUUCUAGAACCGAUUACCCCCGUUCAACCUCACCUUUCCUUGUUUUUUCCGCCUAUAUACCACCGUCGUCAGCUUACCCUAUGAGGGACUAAUAGUAAGCAAGAUUGGCACAGCCCAAAACGUCAGGUCGAGGUGUAGCGUAUGGAAAGGGAAGAAAUGGGCUACAUUCCCUAAUACAGUGAAAUACGAACGAUACACUGAAAUACGUAUCUGAAGGAGGAUUUAGCAGUAAGCAGAAAAUAGAGCGUUCCGCUGAAAACGGCCCUGAAGCGCGCACACACCGCCCGUCACUCUCCCCAAGCUUAAUCACCCUAAGUACCUAAGACCUAAAAACUGCAAAGGGGAGGCAAGUCGUAA